rnacentral:tRNA from 1 species
GGAGGUAUAGCUCAGUGGCAGAGUGCAUGCUUAGUAUGUAUGAAGCCCUGGGUUUUAGUCCAAGCACCACCU